UGUUCUGUGGCUUAGUUAGUUAAAGCGCCGGUCUAGCGAAUACGGAGUCGUGGGUUCGAAUCCCACCAGAACGC
rfam:Aedes albopictus isolate Foshan contig106261, whole genome shotgun sequence.